GGCAGUGUGGCUCCCUGGUUAGAGCGCUGGACUAGGACCUGGGAGGCCAGGGUUCAAAUCCCCACUUAGCCG